rnacentral:rRNA from 1 species
AACGAACGCUGGCGGCAUGCCUAACACAUGCAAGUCGAACGAGACCUUCGGGUCUAGUGGCGCACGGGUGCGUAACGCGUGGGAAUCUGCCCUUGGGUACGGAAUAACACAGAGAAAUUUGUGCUAAUACCGUAUAAUGUCUUCGGACCAAAGAUUUAUCGCCCAAGGAUGAGCCCGCGUAAGAUUAGCUUGUUGGUGAG